rnacentral:rRNA from 1 species
AUUGAACGCUGGCGGCAGGCCUAACACAUGCAAGUCGAGCGAGCGGCGGACGGGUGAGUAAUGUAUGGGGACUGCCCGAUAGAGGGGGAUUACUACUGGAAACGGUGACUACUACCGCAUUCUAGCGAAUAACCCAUAUGGGAUUAGCUAGUAGGAGGGGUAAAUGCUCAACUAGGCGACGAUCUCUAGCUGGUCUGAGAGGAUGAUCAGCCACACUGGGACUGAGACACUGCCCAGACUCCUACGGAGGCAGCAGUGGGGAAUAUUGCACAAUGGGCGCAAGCCUGAUGCAGCCAUGCCGCGUGUAUGAAGAAGGCCGUAGGGUUGUAAAGUACUUUCAGCGGGGAGGCGUUACCCGCAGAAGAAGCACCGGCUAACUACGUGCCAGCCGCCGCGGUAAUAC